UUUGCCACGAGGGCUGCAGCCCCGGGGAUUUCGCUUCAGCCGUGGAGCCCGGCGUGAUGAUUUGAAUAAUUUAAUACCGGGCUGUGACCAAGCCUGGCGAAAGGGUAAAGGAAACAAAGAGGCCCCCGGCCCCGAGCAACAAUAGCUCUUGAAACGACAAGCCGAGGCACGUCCGUGUGCCGCAGGCAGCGAGCAGCCCCGGCAAAUAGGCCGGUUGCAUUCCUCACGUCUGCUGCUUUGUUUCCCUACUGCAGCUCCUGGUGAAAGCUCGGCGUCGGGGCUUCUCCCUUCUUAGCCUUGUGCUGUUGCUGCAUCCCGGGGCUGGAAGCAGCGGGGAGAGGUCAGCAGUUGGUGCUGAUGGAGGAGCGCUGUGCUGCGGUGCUGUGCGCCCCAUUGCCGAGAGCUCUGUGCGUUCUCCUCCAGGAGAAGGUUGAGGGCAGCCAUGGGGAGCUGCGUGCAGACACAUCCAUGGGCUGCUCGUUCCCGUGCCCGAUAAGGAAGAAGACCCCAAAACACAGAGCCCACUUUCCACCUCAGCUUUACACCUCUGAUCUAUGCUAACCCGGGCGGAGGGGAUGCUGCUGGAGGAAGCCCAGCUGGGUUUGGGGACGGAUCUGUCGCCGGGGAUGGGCAACAUAUUGCUUCUACAAAGGCGAGCGCCCUGCCCGGAGGUGGAGUGUCACCGGAGUGCGAGCCAAACGCCCGGCUGUCACAGUGAGUGAGGGGAGGGGGUUCAUUAGGGAGAGGGGGAAAUGAGGGGAUCUUUUGUUUGCAGGGUCUGACGCCUCCGUGCCGUCCUGCUGGCAACCCCAGAGCCUCCUGAUGGCUUUGUCAGCUCCGGGCUAAUUAGGCUGAGGUGCUCUCGAAGCGGGGUUAGGAAAGGAAAGAAUUG
rnacentral:lncRNA from 1 species